rnacentral:lncRNA from 1 species
GGCUGAUCACCUACUCCUACAUUACCCAGGCAGGGAGGGUAUUUUGCGAGGGUCUCCGGUUCGUUGGUUGAUUUGUCUGCCAAUGUCCUGCAGUGGGUUGGUGAAGGUUGGAUCCCAUACCGGCCCCGCGGCUUGUCUCCACGACGAUCGAGAGCCGGUGAGCGCCGUGACAGCAGGGUUAUUAGAGCCGCGUUAGUGCUGGCGUUGGCGCUCCUCGGCGGCUCCAGCAGCUACCCAACGGCAGAAGUACAGUGAAGGAGUUGGUGCUAGCGGACAGUCGAUCAGCUGGCAAGUGGCAGCACUGGCCGUGGCACGGAACUAGUGUGACGGAAGCACUGACUCUGAGCAGCGGGCUGAGUGGAAGGACGUGUCUGGCAGCUCCAGCACACUUUGAAGAGCCGGCUCCAAGAAUUGGAACCAGUGGCUGCCCUGUAUUUCACCUUAGGAUUGCAAGAUACUGCAGAAACUGUUGAGGCUUGAGGGUGGACGGACCACACAUCAACACUUACCAGCCAUGGAUGCAACACAAGGCGUGGAGGUGAAGACAGCAGCAAGCCAGCCACCUCCUACUGCUCACCGUGUCCUCAUUAAACUCUUCCUGCACAGCCUGGCCAUGUUCACCCUUCCCUUCUGGGCGUACUUCACCUGCCGGGACUAUGCAGAGAAGGAGUAUGGGAUAGAGGCUCCUCGGAGUUACAUCUAUGGGGCGGUGGCGGCUGUGUGUGUCAUUCAGGCUGUUAUCUUCUCCUACGUCUAUCAGGCUUUCAAGGAGGAGCAGCUAGAGAAGAAAUUAAAGGCUGCCGCUAAGAAAGACUGAGUGUGGUGAGUGUGUCUGUGUAUGUGGGUGUAUAUAGUGUUGUAUACAGUGGGUGAAUUGUAAAGACAGGAUGUAUUUUUUUGGUACUGGUAUUAGAAAAAUGCACUUAUUUCUUGUAUAUAAGCACUUUUUGGUGUUGUGAUUCAGAAGACAGUCUCUCUUAACCUUUUCACUGCUACUCAAUCUUUGACAUAAUCAUUUACAAUUUUUAGAAAUUUUUUGUACUACAGUCUCUUUAAUAUCUGUACUUUUUUUUGCCAUUCAAAUUUCUUACAGUAGUCUAUAUGUUAAAAUUAUCAGGGCAGUGAAAGAAUUAAUCAAGUCGCUGUUAAGGUGUCAUUUGUCAGGGCCAUGUGAAGGAAAGAACAGAUGGAAUGCUUCUCCCAGCAAGCUAACCAUUGUUUCCUCUGUAUUCGUUCUGUAUUAGAAACGCAUGUGCAUCUAACAUUCCAAUGCAUUGUUUAUAGUAUUGAAAAUAGUUUUUGGUGAGGUACUGGCAAUGACAUACGUAGUGUUUGGUGGGUACAUAACAUUAAGACUCGAACUUGUACAAAUAUAAAUCUCACUACAUACCAAUAAUGUAUUCAUCCAUCAGUCACUGGGAUUUAUGGGUUAAUAUUUUAAUAUAUUACUUGCCUGCACACUGAUAAACAGCUGCAAGGGAAGGCAGGAAAGGAACUCAGGCUGAAGCAGUUCUCGUCUUGUGUCUCAAGCACAGGUGUUCUGAUGAGAGGAGAGAAGCCAGCUGGUAUUCACAGUCUGAGAGGUUACCCUUGCUUCACCUUGAGUUUCCCCUACCAUCUUCCCAACACUUGCACAAAUGUUCAGGAUUUUCAUGCCAAGCAUUCCAGUGGUAGUACUUAUGAAGGGGGAGUUUGUACUUUAGACAGAGCACAGGGCAUUGAUACACACUGUUAGAAUUAAGCUUUAUGAAAAUAGUUACAAUUUCUAAUAAUUAUACACAAGCAUAUUUUGUGUUGAGGGUAAUGUUUCAGAUAAACUCUGAACAGUAAGCAGUGGCCAUCCUGUGUGGCCACACACUUUGUUUCAACCAUUAAAAUGAAAAUGUUGAACUUUAUUUUUUCUAAACAGAUAAAAUUGACUUACCAUGUAAAUCACAAUUGCUGCUUCACUCUUCAGUAACUGAGGUUGACUUACAAUGUAGAUCACAGUGACUCUGUACUCACAUUGCUAAUAAUGAGAUUCACUUGUGCUUAGGUGCACUUUAAACUUGUAUAAAGCUGUCUACUAAAUUUCCCAAGCUUUCAGUGAAGCUUCAAGAACAUGAUGCUGAUUCACCACAACAAUGCAGUCUGUGUAACAACACUUGCCUUACCGCAGCUCACAACCCACGCAAGGCUCUUCUGGCACUGUGACCCACAGCUUGGGUGUAGGGUGCUGUCUGUUGUCUGAAACUUUUGUUGCAGCACCCAGGACAAUGUGGCUGUCCAUUGCAGCACCUCAAAGAACAGUAAGGAGGACUAAAAGCAAGAACUGGCAGAGAUUGAAAUUAGUGCAACCAAAGAUGCUAAGAAAUUGUAAAAAGUUAAUGACCUGUGGAUUAUUUGACUUUCUAUCUCCAAAUUUCUGCUUUAAAGGGAAUCGGAUGUAUAUGAGCAUAGGACAUGUUGGAAGCCUUGUAGGUCGUUUGACGAAGACCAUGAUAGGUAGCAUGUAAGUGGCUUGGUUGUUUUGGGGUACAGGGUAAAACCACAGUAGGACAUUCACUAUACUGACAUGUAGACAUAUCAUAUGCACUCUUAAGUGUGUCUAAUAUUUCUUGGUGAGGGUUAAAGCUAGCAUCUAUCUCCAUACUGAUGUGAAGUCAUGUCUCAUGACUGGUGUGGUCAGGUGUAUGCAUUGGAAGACUGACAAGUCAUAAAUCUUUCACGUCUACAUUGACAGACUGACCUAGUACUGUAUCACUUAAUAUUCAGUGCCUGGCCUUGUGCAGGUCUUGGGAUUCGGAAAGAUUGGAAGUUGGAGAGAUGGAUCUAAAACUUCAAGUAUUUAGUACCUGUUCCUUUUCAUGUCAGGAUGGUGAUUAAGUGAUACAAAAUAUACUUUACUUGUCAGAUUGUGAUUAAAAGCACUCCAAAACUUCCUCAUUGAAAUAGCUAUCCCAUGAUGGUCUGGGUCACCUUGAAAUACUUCGUUUACAAAUACUCCCCUCCCCAAGGUUUCCAACAUUACAUUGUAGCAUCUGGCAACAAAGAUCUCUGCCAGUUCAUGUUUUCUCCGUGUCUCAAGGUCAGGUGUUAUUGUGAAAGUCAAGGAGUGUUGCCUCACCUUGCCUUGUGUUCCCGUGAGUCUGCCUUCACAAGAAACCUGAACAGGAAAAAAGAUUUAUUCAGGCAAGGUUAAUCUGCCAAAUUUGAGUGUUGGUUCAUUCAUCACUGGAUGGUAUUGCACUAGGCAGUCUCUCUCUCUCUCUCUCUCUCUCUCUCUCUCUCUCUCUCUCUCUCUCUCUCUCUCUCUCUCUCUCUCUCUCUCUCUCUCUCUCUCUCUCUCUCUCUCUCUCUCUCUC